GGUCAAGGUCCAGUUAAAUGAAACCUCGAUAUUCGAGGUUUUUUGUUAUCUGAUGACGACGAUUUGAAUCAAUGGCUGGGCUUUUUAGGCCCUUUUUUU
rnacentral:sRNA from 1 species